GAGUCAAGGGGAAAUAGUGCAGAAAGGGCAGAUUCCUUUAUGCCCUCAUCUCUCCCUCCCAGCCCACCCUCAAGAUAGGAAAGGGGCUUAAAGCCCUGCUCUCUCCUUGAUUCACAGCAGUUACAGGUAAGAGCUAAGCCUUGCAUACAUGUUGUCUUAUUUUAACCAAUUAUGUAAAUUCCUAUCCAGCGAGGGGGAUCCCCUUGGUGCAAGAGGGGAAGGGUAGAAACUUUUGUUUCCCAUUUUCACCCCAGGUGCCACUUUCAGGGCCACUGAGGGUAGAGAGAGGUCAGAGGAUCCCAUCUGAUGAAGGCAUGGUGGCCCCAGAGGGAAAGGUGAGGGAGAGAAACCAGGCAAAAGGGUGUAGGAAUAAGAAUAGGCACUGCUGAGAGGAUUACAUAGCGCCAGGCUUGAGUUACAAGAACCUCUUCCUUUAGUCAGAACAGUGGUUCCCAACCACGGGAUCCCAGGGAUGAUGUGGCAAUGUCUGGGGACUUUUUUGAUUGUCCUGACUGAGCAUCUAGUGGGUAGAGCACAGAGAUGCUGUUAACAUCCUAAAAUACACAGGACAGCUCCCAUAACAAAAUAUCUAGUUCAAAAUGUCAAUAGUCCCAAGGUUGAAAGUUAGAAUAUUCUGGUCCUACAUGAGUCCUCUCCUCGGUCCAUGGCAGGAGCACCAGUGAUAGGUCAAAUUACUUGAAGGGAAUACCAUGGGAUGCCAGCUUGUUACCCUGGGCCCUGAGUUCCUCUCAAACUUCCAACUCAAGUAUUUUGUUUGUUUACUCCUAACAAAAACAAAUUUAGGCUGGAGUCCCAAAUUUGCUGUAAAGUCAGCUUCUAGAGAAGAGGGCCUUGGGUAUCGGAAAAGCUGCCUGACAGAGGCCGUGCAACUGGACAAAAGGCAUGAUCUCUUGGCCAGUGUUUCACUGAACUCAAUGAUCUCAAAUGUUUCUUUAGUUCUAAACUCGGUACUUUUGGAUAAUUCUUGCAUGUAGCUGUACACAAUUUGGGUCAAUGGACAAGGAAAUGACUCAGAAACGCAAUGGACGGAAGUCUGAGGGUGUUCUCAGACUUUCCUAAUCAUAAAAGUUGCUUCAGACAUGGACUUUACCAGUUGUUUUUUUUUUAAUCUAUUUUUGGCUGCGUUGGGUCUUCGUUGCUGCACACGGGCUUUCUCUAGUUGCUGGGAGCGGGGGCUACUCUUCGUUGCAGUGCACGGGCCUCUCAUUGCAGUGGCUUCUCUUGUUGCAGAGCACGGGCUCUAGGCACGCAGGCUUCAGUAGUUGCAGCAUGCGGGCUCAGUAGUUGUGGCUUGCGGGCUCUAGAGCGCAUGCUUAGUAGUUGUGGUGCAUGGGCUUAGUUGCUCUGUGGCAUCUUCCCGGACCAGGACUCGAACCCAUGUCCCCUGCAUUGGCAGGUGGAUUCUUAACCACUGCACCACUGGGGAAGUCCCAGACCUGGACUUUAGUGUCAAACCAGGACUCAUGAUCGCUGAAUGAUUCCAGGUCUUUCCUUUGCAUAUUUGAGUAGGUGGUGUCUACGUGGGGUGAUUAAUGGUGCUGGUGAAAGACAGUUCAAGGAAUCCACCUGAUUCAGACUGGUGGCAGGAUUCCAGUGGUUAGGACAUCAUGAGGAAAGAAGUGACUCUGCCCCCUACUGGCCACUAGCAGAAAGGCUUGCGUUCCUUUUGGCUUAUUACUAGAGGUCACAUUUCUCCUUCACAGACAUGAGAGCUUGUGAAGGAAUGGAAGACUGAAAGGGAAAAGGAAAAGCAGGCUUCCUUUUUUGCUUAGCCUGUACUGAGCUUUAGGUGUCAAUAAACCAUUUAGAUCAAAUACCGCAAACCCCUUAUUUUGUGAGUCAAAACCUGAGGUGGCUGCAUCUUCUGCAUUAGCUACGGAAACAGUAGCUUGGACAGGAGUCAGGAAAAGUCCUGGUCUAAUGCCAACGUCCCUGCUCCCUCUCCGUAAAUUAGGGAAACGGGGAACCCAGACACAUCCCACAUGAAGGGCCCCUGUUCCUUAGAAACUUAGGCCCCACACUGGCUUCUCCCCUUGAAUGGUGUCUUCAGUAUUGUUUUCUUCCCUUUCCCCAAACCCCAAUAAAACACACCAACUGCUUCAGAGUAUUUCUGGGUUGGGUUUUUUUGGUGGGUCUUCUUUUGUUUUUUAUUUCAAACUGAAAAAGUUCCCUGGGCUCUGUGGGGCUCCCCACGCUCAUGGCCCCCUUCUCCCACGCUCACUGCCCUUCUUCCCGCAGCAAAUCUAUUUCAAGGACAGUAUUUUUUUUUUUAAUGCAUAAUUGAGUUCUCAGCUUGUUCUGCAGAACCAGAGGAGCUGUCUGCAUCUUUCAUAUUUAGACGGUCAGUUUCUUUUAUCUGACACCAGGUCCCCAGCCACAUCCAAGCAAGCAAGGCAUUCUUCUACAGAGCUGAAUUAGAGCCUCUCAUCUUUUGUCCAUUUUACUUCCUCCUCCUCACACCCACCCACCAGCCACAUGGUUAAGGAGGAUAGCCAAGAAUGUUUUUAUCAACUCCAAGCCCUAAUUCAUAUUCCCCCAAAUCUCCCACUCCACCCUCCCAACCCCCCACCCCACCCCCAGGAUUUCACUGAGAUGUCUCCCAACAAUUAUUUGGAGAAAAAGGAAAAACAAAAAAGGUUCAAGGUCUUGGUGCUCAGCCCAAGGGGCUCCAUGCGCUGGGACACCGACGGGCAGGGGCUUCUGCCUCUCCAGCCCGCGCCCGAGCCACCUCCUGACCCCUGGCUGCAAAAGCAGGGAGGGGCAGGAGCCAGCACAGGACCCAGGGGGGCAGCGUCUCAGGAUCUGGCGGAGCCCCGGGCAGCAUCAUUCAACUUGGCCACUGCGGACGAACACAGAAGAAAAAGAAAACACUGUCAAGCAGUAAGGGAAAGAACCCUAAGUCCCACCCCAGUCUCUACCCCAUCACUCUUCCACACUUAACAAUCAUUAGGGCUACCUGGCACAUGUCUCAAUCCUAUCCAGCGAGUUGUUUAAAAAAAAAAAAAAGAAUUUCAGUCUUUUCCUGUCUUCAAAACAAAAUGUUCUCUGUCUUUUUGGAGAUACCCAUGAAAACAAAAACAAA